rnacentral:misc_RNA from 1 species
GAUGAAGAACGUAGCGAAAUGCGAUAAGUAAUGUGAAUUGCAGAAUUCAGUGAAUCAUCGAAUCUUUGAACGCACAUUGCGCCCCUUGGUAUUCCGAGGGGCAUGCCUGUUCGAGCGUCAUUAUAACCCCUCAAGCUCAGCUUGGUGUUGGGGCCUGCUGCACUGGCAGCCCUUAAAAUCAGUGGCGGCGCCAUCUGGCUCUAAGCGUAGUAAUUCUUCUCGCUAUGGAGUCCUGGUGGAUGCUUGCCAUCAACCCCCAAUUUUUCUAUGGUUGACCUCGGAUCAGGUAGGGAUACCCGCUGAACUUAAGCAUAUCGAUAAGCGGAGGA